rnacentral:rRNA from 1 species
GAUGAACGCUGGCGGCGUGCCUAAUACAUGCAAGUCGAGCGAACGGACGAGAAGCUUGCUUCUCUGAUGUUAGCGGCGGACGGGUGAGUAACACGUGGAUAACCUACCUAUAAGACUGGGAUAACUUCGGGAAACCGGAGCUAAUACCGGAUGAUAUUUUGAACCGCAUGGUUCAAAAGUGAAAGACGGUCUUGCUGUCACUUAUAGAUGGAUCCGCGCUGCAUUAGCUAGUUGGUAAGGUAACGGCUUACCAAGGCAACGAUGCAUAGCCGACCUGAGAGGGUGAUAGGCCACACUGGAACUGAGACACGGUCCAGACUCCUACGGGAGGCAGCAGUAGGGAAUCUUCCGCAAUGGGCGAAAGCCUGACGGAGCAACGCCGCGUGAGUGAUGAAGGUAUUCGGAUCGUAAAACUCUGUUAUUAGGGAAGAACAGAUGUGUAAGUAACUGUGCACAUCUUGACGGUACCUAAUCAGAAAGCCACGGCUAACUACGUG